rnacentral:lncRNA from 1 species
AAAAUUGAGGGGAAUAGAUAAUAGAAAUUUUUCACACUAGGGACUUAACUUAAAAUAUUAUAAUAAUUUUUUUUUCUUUUUUUUAUAAUAAUAAGGAAGGGAAAUAACAAUGAAAGGGAAAAUAACAUACUUGAAGAGGGAAGGUUGAAAGAACAAGGUUUUCCCCCCCACACUUAUAUGAAACAUUGUCCCCAAUGUUUCAAAGAAAACAAAAGAAAUAGAAAAAAGAAAAAAGAAACUAAAAUCAAUUCUACCUG